UUGGUGUGGGGGCAGUUUUUAUGUUCUAUAAUACAAAGCAUACUAAAUGGAAUAAAUGGAAAUUUAGAGUCACAGUUAAACAUUCGACUUAUGUCUUCUCUUUUAAGCAUUUUAAACUACCUCUAUUAUAUUGAUUUUUAGAAGAAUUGUUUUCUAAAGAAAACUGCUUCCUGAUGUUGGCGCAGGUGGGCUCUCUGUGAUAUCUGCGGCCAUGGUAGUCCAUUUUUCCUACUAACUUUGUUAAUGUCCUGAGAAAAACUAGAAAUUUGAAUAGGAUAUAAAGAAUAGGAUUUCCCAGAAGAAGAGACAUUUUUAUCCCAGUAAUCCUGCUGUGUUUAGUCAUUCCUCCCAAUGCCAGUGAUCCCUUAAAUCUGGGUGUUGUCCAUCAUCAUCCCUGCCCGUCUCCGUGCAUCCACAACUGCCACAUCCUGAGAGCUCAGUCCAUCAUAAAUGCAAUUAUAGCCUUUUACCUCCUCCUCACCAGAUACUCUCUACAGGGCAAGUUCAUCAAACUGUGUGCUUAGAAGCUCUGGAGCAGAACUCUCACCCACCAGAAGAUUGCCUCAAGAGAUAAAAGAUGAUUUACAACCCAAAGUAUGCCCACUAGAGGUUUUGGCCAUUUUUACAAUGUAUUCCUGCCCAUGAAGAUGCCAACUUGACUGCCCAAUACAUAAAGCACCAAAGCAAGUAUGCGGACCCCCCCACACCUCCUCACUUCUGCUCCUGUGUAGACCCCCAUCUUUAAAAGCACUUACUUUCUCCUGCAAAAGCAAAUCAGACCCUUACAGCAGGAAGGCUUUUCUUCUUCUCCUAAACUAGCUUUGGAAUAAAAAGUUAUUUUCUUUA
rnacentral:lncRNA from 1 species